ACUUAUAUAGUUUAAAUUUAGAAUAAUAAUUUGUGGUAUUAUUGGUGAAUGUUAAUAAUUUCUUUAAGUC
rnacentral:tRNA from 1 species